AUUGAACGCUGGCGGCAUGCUUUACACAUGCAAGUCGAACGGUAACAGGCCUUCGGGUGCUGACGAGUGGCGAACGGGUGAGUAAUGCAUCGGAACGUACCCAGAGGUGGGGGAUAACGCAGCGAAAGCUGUGCUAAUACCGCAUGUGAUCUGAGGAUGAAAGCGGGGGACCGAGCAGCAAUGUUUGGCCUCGCGCCUUUGGAGCGGCCGAUGUCGGAUUAGCUAGUUGGUGGGGUAAAGGCCUACCAAGGCGACGAUCCGUAGCUGGUCUGAGAGGACGACCAGCCACACUGGGACUGAGACACGGCCCAGACUCCUACGGGAGGCAGCAGUGGGGAAUUUUGGACAAAGGGCGCAAGCCUGAUCCGGCAAUGCCGCGUGCGGGAAGAAGGCCUUCGGGUUGUAAACCGCUUUUGGCAGGAACGAAACGGUGUCCGCUAAUACCGGGCGCUAAUGACGGUACCUGCAGAAUAAGCACCGGCUAACUACGUG
rnacentral:rRNA from 1 species